GCCGUCCGUGUCGUCGGAGCGUUCGGAGCGUUCGGAGCGUUCGGAGCGUUCGGAGCGUUCGGAGCGUUCGGAGCGUUCGGAGAGCA
rnacentral:tRNA from 1 species